AGACACGGGAACCUGCCCUGCUGCACCCGGAGGCGCUGCAAAUGCCUGAGGAGACAGGGCGAGGGGAGUGGAGCGGUUGCCUGGAGAAAUCAAGACGGAGCAAGGGCUGAGGAAGACCACGGGCAGCGGGGAAGGUCGAGCAACAGGGAGCGUGCGGCUGUGCUGCAGCCUGCCCCGGGCGGGGGACAAGCACCGGCCCUUCCCAAUGCAUCUCCCUCAUCCAGGCCUGUCAUUAGCCCCGGAGGAGAGGGGAGAUGCUGCCCCCUGCCCCACAGCUGACCUUGGUGUGUCCUGGAUGGCACCCACAUCAUGCAGCAGAGCUCACCCCACUCGUACCGCCGGCAGGGGAGAUUUCCAGGAGAGGGGUCCACAUCCAUCCCAUCUUUGGUGGCUCUUCAUCAGGAAGGCACGAGACGCGCGGACAGGAAAUGAUUUCAGCUGUCAAACUGCUUUGUGGCAGGUGCCACAGAGUGACGGGGUAAGCUGUUUUGGUCUCCGUCCUCGAUGCUGCUACAUCCGUCCAUGUCCCCGUGCUGCAGGGAUCCCCUUUGCCCUGCCUGGCCUGGCAGCAAUGCCGUAGAUAGAAGUCAAAAGCCUGGAUGGUCUCUGCCAGCUGCGUCACCCGUCCCGAUGCCGUGCCGCCCGUGGCGGGUGCCUGCUUUGCACCGUGACCAGCCCAGGGCCUGCCGUCAGCUCCCUUUGCUCCUGCAAAGCCUCUGAUGCUCCACUCCGUGUUGGAUCCGAGGAUCUUUGAGGAAGCCUGUGGAGCAGUGGAGCUCCUGGCCAGCACUUUGCCCCUUCGCACUCUGUGGCCACCAGGUUGGUUGAACCCGGUCCUGCAUGGAUGCUUCUGGUUAGCGCUGAGAUACAAUGUUUAAUGCAGAAGUGGGAUUGCUUCUCUCACAGCUGAGUAUUUAACGAGUUUUCUCCUAGCGACCCGCAGUGGGAAGGAUGCUGGCCAGCAUCCUCGGGAAGGGGCGCCGGUCCUCACCCAGGACUCAUCUCCCAGCGCCUGCUCCGUCCCACGAGCAGUGCGACGACUGGGUGAGAGCACAGCCGGGGCCGGGGCCCAGGCCAAGGUGGGCUUGAGGAGAGCGGUUUUAUCCCCACUGCUGAGCACCCUUUGCCAGGCCAUGAUGGCCUAGGGGACUGGAUGUGGCCGUGAUGCGGAUGGAGGCAGAGGGAAGCGAGGCUCCUUCUCUCCACCUUGCUUGGGAGAAGGCUCGUACACCCACCGCUCUGCUCUUGGACCUGGUGCCGUGACCUCCAGGCUGCAGGCUCUCUGGAGAAGACAAAAGAUGCUCUCUGUGUGCGGAAACUGAGGCAGCAUCAGCAGACACCACUCGCACUGAGUCGUGCAAGAAGCCAAGGGUUAAAUACGGCAAUUAAAUGCCCCCUCCUCUCCUUCCUGCCCCCGGAUCCAGCUGCUAGAGCGAGCUGGACCUCCCCGAGGGAGCGUGUCCUGGGCUCGGGGUUAUGCGCAG